rnacentral:rRNA from 1 species
AUGAACGCUGGCGGCGUGCCUAAUACAUGCAAGUCGAGCGAACAGACGAGGAGCUUGCUCCUUUGACGUUAGCGGCGGACGGGUGAGUAACACGUGGAUAACCUACCUAUAAGACUGGGAUAACUUCGGGAAACCGGAGCUAAUACCGGAUAACAUGUUGAACCGCAUGGUUCAACAGUGAAAGACGGUCUUGCUGUCACUUAUAGAUGGAUCCGCGCCGCAUUAGCUAGUUGGUAAGGUAACGGCUUACCAAGGCAACGAUGCGUAGCCGACCUGAGAGGGUGAUCGGCCACACUGGAACUGAGACACGGUCCAGACUCCUACGGGAGGCAGCAGUAGGGAAUCUUCCGCAAUGGGCGAAAGCCUGACGGAGCAACGCCGCGUGAGUGAAGAAGGUCUUCGGAUCGUAAAACUCUGUUAUUAGGGAAGAACAAAUGUGUAAGUAACUAUGCACGUCUUGACGGUACCUAAUCGGAAAGCCACGGCUAACUACGUG